rnacentral:rRNA from 1 species
GACGAACCGUGCGAACGUUGUUCGGAUUCACUGGGCUUAAAGGGCGCGUAGGCGGGUCCACCAGUCAGGGGUGAAAGCUCCCGGCCCAACCGGGAAAGUGCCUUUGAUACUGUGGAUCUCGAGGGAGGUAGGGGCACGCGGAACUUCCGGUGGAGCGGUGAAAUGCGUAGAUAUCGAGAGGAACACCUGCGGCGAAGGCGGGUUGCUGGGCUGAUACUGACGCUGAGGCGCGAAAGCCAGGGGAGCGAACGGG